rnacentral:rRNA from 1 species
GACGAACGCUGGCGGCGUGCUUAACACAUGCAAGUCGAACGGAGCGAAUGAAAGCUUGCUUUUAUGAGCUUAGUGGCAAACGGGUGAGUAACACGUAGACAACCUGCCGAUCAGAUGGGGACAACAUUCCGAAAGGAAUGCUAAUACCGAAUGAAGUGUGGGGGAGGCAUCUUCCCUACAUGAAAGAUGGCCUCUAUUUAUAAGCUAUCACUGAUCGAUGGGUCUGCGUCUGAUUAGCUAGUGGGUAAGGUAACGGCUUACCUAGGCGACGAUCAGUAGCCGGUCUGAGAGGAUGAACGGCCACAUUGGGACUGAGACACGGCCCAGACUCCUACGGGAGGCAGCAGUGGGGAAUCUUCCGCAAUGGGCGCAAGCCUGACGGAGCAACGCCGCGUGAGUGAAGAAGGUCUUCGGAUCGUAAAGCUCUGUUGAAAGGGGACG